GCCCAGACUCCUACGGGAGGCAGCAGUGAGGAAUAUUGGUCAAUGGGCGAGAGCCUGAACCAGCCAAGUCGCGUGAAGGAUGACGGCCCUACGGGUUGUAAACUUCUUUUGUCAGGGAGCAAUUGGGUCCACGCGUGGGCUUAGCGAGAGUACCUGAAGAAAAAGCAUCGGCUAACUCCGUGCCAGCAGCCGCGGUAAUACGGAGGAUGCGAGCGUUAUCCGGAUUUAUUGGGUUUAAAGGGUGCGUAGGCGGGCUGUUAAGUCAGCGGUAAAAGCCCGGGGCUCAACCCCGGCGUGCCGUUGAAACUGGCGUUCUUGAGUGAGCGAGAAGCACGCGGAAUGCGUGGUGUAGCGGUGAAAUGCAUAGAUAUAACGCAGAACUCCGAUUGCGAAGGCAGCAUACCGGCGCUCAACUGACGCUCAUGCACGAAAGCGUGGGUAUCGAACAGGAUUAGAUACCCUGGUAAUU
rnacentral:rRNA from 1 species